rnacentral:rRNA from 1 species
CAGCAGCCGCGGUAAUACGUAGGUGGCAAGCGUUGUCCGGAAUUAUUGGGCGUAAAGGGCUCGCAGGCGGUUUCUUAAGUCCGAUGUGAAAGCCCCCGGCUCAACCGGGGAGGGUCAUUGGAAACUGGGAAACUUGAGUGCAGAAGAGGAGAGUGGAAUUCCACGUGUAGCGGUGAAAUGCGUAGAGAUGUGGAGGAACACCAGUGGCGAAGGCGACUCUCUGGUCUGUAACUGACGCUGAGGAGCGAAAGCGUGGGGAGCGAACAGGAUUAGAUACCCGUGUAGUCCCUGUCUCUUAUAA